GAUGAACGCUGGCGGCGUGCCUAAUACAUGCAAGUCGAGCGGACGGACGAGGCGCUUGCUUCUCUGAUGUUAGCGGCGGGCGGGUGAGUAACACGUGUAUACCCUACCUAUCAGACUGGGAUAUCCACGGGAAACCGGAGCUUAUACCAGAGAAUAUUCUGCACCGCAGGGUUCAAUAGUGAAAGACGGUCGUGCUGGCACUUAUAGAUGCAUCCGCGCUUCAUUAGCUAGUUGGUAAGUUAACAGCUUUCGAAGGCGACGAUGCCUAGCCGACCGGGGGGGCGGAUCGGCCACAUUGGAGCGUAGACACGCACAAGGGUCCUACGGGACGCACCAGUAUGGAAUGGUCGGCAGUGGGCGGAAGCAUGACGGAGUGAGGCCGCGUGAGUGAUGACGGUCUUCGGAGCGUAAAGCUCUGUUACGAGGGGUGAACAUAUGUGUAAUGAACUGUGGACAUCUUGACGGUACCUAAUCAGAAAGCCACGGCUAACUACGUG
rnacentral:rRNA from 1 species